UGCAGGUGAAAAUACAUGCUGAUUCACAUCUGUGCUUCAAACCUUUUUAGGCCGUGUUGGAGGUUCUGCCACAUUUCAGGGUGGCCAAGGUUUGAACUCUGACUUCACCUGGUCUUCAAAUUGGUAAAUGUCAGGUAUUCUGGAUUACAUGAAGGGUAUGGGCUAUCAGGGCAGAGUGCACUUACAUUACGUAAAUUAUUGUAUUCUCUGCGGAAUGGUGAGUUUUAUGAAAAACAACAAACAAGAAGUUUGACACAUCAUAGUACCCCAUGUUUGUUUGGGCGGUUGGGGGAAGGAAGAAACUUCCAACACACGAUGUAGGUGUAUGUGAGAAGGUAUCGAUUUUGCCCUUAAUCAAUUCAAGAUGUAGGUGUAUGUGAGGAGGUAUAGAUUUGACCGUUUUUCAAUUCCAAAUGGCCAUGAGAAAAAUAAAAUAUCAACCCAGCCAAAUGUUCUGUAUGCAAAACAUUUUUUAUCAAAAAAAUAGUUUGUAAAGCAGAGCGUCAUUUCUUUUCGCUGCAGGUUUUUUCACGUUGGGCUUACUGUGAUGAAUUCACCUAUGAACCAGAAUUGAUCUAUAGGCAAGGUGAAUUAAUCCAACUCAUUCUCUGGAUGCAAUAAAUCAGAGUUUGGUGUGUUUUUCCUCCAAGGGUUUGCCCUUCCACGUGGGAAAAAAGGCACAUUUACCACACCUGUGCACUUCAAGAUACAGUAGAGUGAUACGGAUGAUUAACACGUCCGUUUACUAGUGAACUUGUACGUUAAAGGCACAGUCAAGACGAGUGUAUACCAUGACAAAACCUCAAGUUUCCGUUGUCAUGACGGAAGGCUGACUGUUAUCGGGAACCCUAUCCGUUUUAUUUCUCCAGCUGUAAUUCUAUCCAUUACUGACGUCAGUGGGGACUCCCAUUUCGCAUAGUUCACUGUUGUUGUUUCUGGAGUUCAGAAACGUUCAAACAAGAAUCAGCCGCCGCUUUGACUAGGCUACAAAGCCUACUCCAAUGUUCUGUCCAAAUGGAGCUGGAUCCUGAAUGUUGAGAUAUGAAUGUUUUUUUAAGACAGAUACAAGAGCGGUGUGACACUUUAUAGACCAAUGAAGUUGUCAAGGUGCGAUGGUCUGGUAACGUUGGUAAAUAUUUGAUAAAGUUUCGAUAAGAGUACUGUAGUACAUGCACUAUUCCGUCUCUAUAGAGGGUCUGGAAAAUAUAAUCAAAAUGCGCUCUGGAG
ensembl:lncRNA